AUUGAACGCUGGCGGCAGGCCUAACACAUGCAAGUCGAGCGGAGCGGGGGAGGGGUGAGGAAUGCCUAGGAAUGGGCCUGGUCGUGGGGGAGAAGGACCGGAAACGGGCGCUAAUAACACAAACUAUUAGAAGAGCAUAGGGCGGAUUGGGUAGUUGGUGGGGUAAAGGCCUACCAGGGCGACGAUCAGUAACUGGUCUGAGAGGAUGAGCAGUCACACGGGAACUGAGACACGGUCCAGACUCCGACGGGAGGCAGCAGUGGGGAAUAUUGGACAAUGGGCGAAAGCCUGAUGCAGCCAUGCCGCGUGUGUGAAGAAGGUCUUCGGAUUGUAAAGUACUUUAAGUUGGGAGGCGUUACCAACAGAAGAAGCACCGGCUAACUUCGUGCCAGCCGCCGCGGUAAUUC
rnacentral:rRNA from 1 species